rnacentral:rRNA from 1 species
AUGGCCUUUCGCAACCCUGGAAUGACGCAGGUAAUUGAGCCGCAUCCAAGCAAGUCCCGCACUGUCAAGAAUGUGAAGUACCCAGUGUUUGGUCGAGCAUUUUGGUGUUUCGUCCCUUGUGUCGAGGCGUUCAAGCAUUGCCGGCCAUUUCUUUCUGUUGAUGGGACAUUCUUGACGAGGAAGUUUAAAGGCACCCUACUCGUCGCGAUCUCCUGCGAUGCGGACAAUCGAUCGGUCUUGCUGGCCUUUGCUUUGGUUACCGGGGAGGACAAUGACAAUUGGAGCUGGUUCAUGCACUUGCUUAGGACUAAGGUUGUUGGCCCUGCACGGGAGGUUUGUGUCAUAUCCGACCGCCAUCAUGGCAUAUUGAAUGCCGUGAAGGAGGAAAUUGCCAGGCUCCCCCUAGUGAAGCACCGUUGGUGCAUUAGGCAUUUUGCGGCUAAUUUUUAUCGGGCUUGCUGUAAUAGGGAAUUGUGCGAGUAUCUCCGUAGGCUUUGCAUGGUGUAUGAGCUAGAGGUAUUGUAG